AUCAAUUCAGAAAGAGAUGAAUUUUCUCUCUCUUCUCCAUCUCCGAUUCUCCAUGUUUACAUGGUAUCAAAGCAUGGUUCGCCUUCUCGGAUGUAUCCCCUCUCUUCUUAGUUCUCCCGGUUCAACUUUAUUGAAUUAUCGGUAGUGAUUCUGGAUUUUUUUUCCGAUUUAUUAGUGGAAUCGGAGAUGCUUUCAGUUUUUUUGUAGAUUGUUGUUGCUUCUUCAAGCGUGGUGUUUAGGGUGAACUUCCGACACCUUUCGCGUUUGAUUCUGACGGUUUCCAAGGCGUUGGAUUUACACUGAACAAAGCUAGGGUUUUCUCUGAACUUUUGAAGGCCGUUCUUCUCCGGUAGCGUAGAAGUCGGGUAACCCUAUUCUCACUCUCAUUAAGAGCUUGCAUGUGUUUUUGCUGGAAAAUCUAUUGUAUCUUGUAGUUCAAAGAUAUUGAAUCAAUUUCUUCUCAUCAUUGUUGUUCUGUUUCUGAUGACAAAUAUGAACCCUAUUUAUCCCUCACCUAUUGACCCUACAAGCCCUCUCUUUGUUUACUCUUCUGAUGUUCCUGGUGUUUCCCUUGUUCCUAUUCCCUUUUCGGGUAGUGCUUAUGGGGGUUGGAAGAGGAAGAUGAUAGUUGCCUUGUCCGUUAAAAACAAAAUUGGUUUUGUUGAUGCGUAGUGGUUAUGGGGGUUGGAAGAGGAAGAUGAUAGUUGCCUUAUCCGCUAAGAACAAAAUUGGUUUUGUUGAUGGUACCUGUCCUAGACCAAAUACUAACCUGGCUGAACAGAAAUUAUGGGACAAAUGCAAUAAUAUGGUAAUUUCCUGGUUGACUGCAUCUCUGUCUCCUCAAAUAGCUGAGAGUGUGCAAUAUUCUUAGACUGCACAGAGUAUAUGGGCAAAACUCGAAGCCAGAUAUGGCACAUCCAAUAGGACAAAAAUUUUUAUACUUAAAAGAGAACUCUCUCACUCUUCUCAAGGACCUCUAGAUAUAGCAUCUGAAGCCAGAUAUGGCACAACCAAUAGGACCAAAAUUUUUGAACAUAAAAGAGAACUCUCUCACUCUUCUCAAGGACCUCUAGAUAUAGUAUCAUAUUUUAACAAACUCAAAGGGUUGUGGGAUGAGUUAGGAGCAGUAUGUACAAAUCAUGG
rnacentral:lncRNA from 1 species